UCCUUAAGGGGUUAAAAAAGCUGGGGAAUAUCCACCACUGAAGACAUUUUCUAGGAGAUGGAAAAUGUCUUCAGUGGUGGAUAUUCCCCAGCUUAAUGCACCUUACCAUAAUUCUCCAGA